rnacentral:rRNA from 1 species
UCCCGCCAGGGGUAGGCGCCGGGUAGCUACGUUCGGUUUAGAUAAUCGCUGAAAGCAUCUAAGCGAGAAGCUAGUCCCAAGAUAAAUUUUCUUGUCCCUUCGUGGGAGUAAGGCCUCCGGUAGACUACCGGGUUGAUAGGUUGGGGGUGUAAGCACAGUAAUGUGUUCAGCUGACCAAUACUAAUCGGCCGAGGUUUUUCCAUAU